UACAGAGGGGGCAAGCGUUGUUCGGAAUUACUGGGCGUAAAGGGCGCGUAGGCGGCCUGCUAAGUCGAACGUGAAAUCCCCGAGCUCAACUCGGGAACUGCGUCCGAUACUGGCAGGCUUGAAUCCGGGAGAGGGAUGCGGAAUUCCAGAUGUAGCGGUGAAUGCGUAGAUAUCUGGAGGAACACCGGUGGCGAAGGCGGCAUCCUGGACCGGCAUGACGCUGAGGCGCGAAGCCA
rnacentral:rRNA from 1 species